GUUCUGAGGAGGAGGAGGGAGUGACCGAGGGGAGCCCUUUGGCCCAGCCGUUGAUGGAUACGUCGGAACCCAAACCCGACACCCUCGUGAGGCACCCCGAGGAGCCUGAUGGCCUCUCUUUGUCCACCCCCUCAGAGCCUGAUCGCCGCUCGGAGGAGUCACCGGUGGACAAGGCAAACGGAAAAGACGGCGCUCAGCUCGACAAUGCCUUUCUAGACGCCUUAAAGAACUUGCGUAUCAGUAACCCGGUGGGAGUAAAUAGAUCGAACAUCAGCUGUUUUUGCUCAUGUCCUUUUCACAGAUUUUAAGC